rnacentral:rRNA from 1 species
UACGUGAGCCCCGAGCGUUAUCCGGAAUUACUGGGCGUAAAGAGUGCGUAGGCGGUUGUGUUAGUCUCCUGUUUAAUCCUUCGGCUCAACCGAAGAACUGCAGGGGAAACGGCACAACUGGAGCGUGUGAGAGGUGAGUGGAACUCAUGGUGUAGGGGUGAAAUCCGUUGAUAUCAUGGGGAACACCAAAUGCGAAGGCAACUCACUGGCACAUUGCUGACGCUGAGGCACGAAAGCGUGGGUAGCGAAUGGG